rnacentral:tRNA from 1 species
GGAUAUUUUAUUUAAACUGCUAAUUUAAACUUUAUAAUUAUUAUUAUAAUAUCCU